UUAAAUCGAAAACAUAACUGUAAAACAAGACUCCCCCCGGAUUGAUGUUAGUAUGGACGGUACCCGAGGAUUCGGCUAGCCGUGGAGUGUGAUUGAUUGGUGGUGGGGGAGUUAAAACUUUACUUUUCUGUUUGGGAACCCCCUAUAGCAUGAGUAGCAUGGAAGAUAUUGAGAACUCUUGGUCAUUGCGUUGACAAUGAAAGCAUGCCACCAAAAAUUAUUAUCUCCGUUUUCAAAGCUUGAGCUCUGGCACCUCUGCAAAUCAAUGCUUCCCUCUGCGAAGGGCCUGUCUAUUUAUUUUCCUGU
rnacentral:lncRNA from 1 species